GAUGAAGAACGUAGCGAAAUGCGAUACGUAAUGUGAAUUGCAGAAUGCAGUGAAUCAUCGAAUCUUUGAACGCAUAUUGCGCUCUUUGGUAUUCCGAAGAGCAUGCUUGUUUGAGUAUCAGUAAACACCUCAAAGCUUUUGGAUUUUUUAAUCGAAAAGCUUUGGACUUGAGCAAUCCCAACACCAAUCUUUUUGAGAUCGGUGGCGGGUUGCUUGAAAUGCAGGUGCAGCUGGACAUUCUCCUGAGCUAAAAGCAUAUUCAUUUAGUCCCGUCAAACGGAUUAUUACUUUUGCUGCAGCUAACAUAAAGGGAGUUUGACCGUAUUGGCUGACUGAUGCAGGAUUUCACAAGGGUCGGCAACGAUUCUUGUUAAACUCGAUCUCAAAUCAAGUAAGACUACCCGCUGAACUUACGCAUAUCAAUCAGCGGAGGA
rnacentral:misc_RNA from 1 species